rnacentral:rRNA from 1 species
GCUACUACCGAUUGAAUGGUUUAGUGAGAUCAUCGGACCGGCCCCGGCACAGCUUUUAAAAGAGUAUAGCCGUGGAUAGCCGGGAAGACGAUCGAACUUGAUCAUUUAGAGGAAGUAAAAGUCGUAACAAGGUUUCCGUAGGUG